rnacentral:rRNA from 1 species
UAGGGAAUCUUCCACAAUGGACGCAAGUCUGAUGGAGCAACGCCGCGUGAGUGAAGAAGGUUUUCGGAUCGUAAAGCUCUGUUGUUGGUGAAGAAGGAUAGAGGCAGUAACUGGUCUUUAUUUGACGGUAAUCAACCAGAAAGUCACGGCUAACUACGUGCCAGCAGCCGCGGUAAUACGUAGGUGGCAAGCGUUGUCCGGAUUUAUUGGGCGUAAAGCGGGCGCAGGCGGAAUGAUAAGUCUGAUGUGAAAGCCCACGGCUCAACCGUGGAACUGCAUCGGAAACUGUAAUUCUUGAGUGCAGAAGAGGAGAGUGGAAUUCCAUGUGUAGCGGUGGAAUGCGUAGAUAUAUGGAAGAACACCAGUGGCGAAGGCGGCUCUCUGGUCUGAAACUGACGCUGAGGCUCGAAAGCAUGGGUAGCGAACAGG